UUUUUUUUACCCAUGUUUUACAAUUCACACAGUAUGAUCCUAUUUAUAGUUUUUGUAUAUAUUUAAUUCAAUCUUGGAAUGGAUGCCCUUUUGAUGUGCCACAGUCACAGUUUCUUCAAUUUUUCUAUUUCUUAAGGUCCCUUUUUCACUUUUGUUUUUGCCUAAACUCAUGGUUGAUUCCCUUUUGAUGUGCUGCAGAUGCAAUUUCACCAAUUUUGCUAAAAAUAUCCGCUGCCUGAAGUGCAAAGCUGAGGGACCAAAGAAGUCAGGAGGAAGUGAUAUUGAAAUGAAGAAAGGUGAUUGGAAUUAUCCAAAGUGGGUCAAUUUUUCUCAAAAAGUGAAGGAACUAGGAAUAUCAUUUCUCUUGGUA